UACGGAGGGUGCAAGCGUUAUCCGGAUUCACUGGGUUUAAAGGGUGCGUAGGAGGGCAGGUAAGUCAGUGGUGAAAUCUUCGAGCUUAACUCGGAAACUGCCGUUGAUACUAUCUGUCUUGAAUACCGUGGAGGUGAGCGGAAUAUGUCAUGUAGCGGUGAAAUGCUUAGAUAUGACAUAGAACACCAAUUGCGAAGGCAGCUCACUACUCAAUCAUUGACUCUGAGGCACGAAAGCGUGGGGGAUCAAACAGG
rnacentral:rRNA from 1 species